UUAAACCCAAAUAAUAACCUAGACCUAACCUAUUAAAACACUAGGACUAAAGAGUUGGAGAUACAUGCUGCCCUAGAGCUAAAAAAAUCAACGCCGUUUUCAGCAAAUACACGGACCCCUCCUCCCCGUUAUGGAUCUCCUUCAGCAAAAAUGAGGGAGUCCCAUCGUUGCUUCUUCUCCACGCCUUCUCCGCCACUACUUCUUCUUCUCCGGUCGAAAAUUCGGCAGUUCCCUCUCAUUUUCUGGCUGGGCCGUUCAUCUUCCUCAGCACACCACAAACAAUCGAUCUUCUCGACCUCUCAACCAUAAAGCCACCAUCGAAUCCCUCUCAUCCGUUUACUCGAACAUACUAGUUACAGAACUAAAUAAACUUUCAAAUUUUUUGCUGUUUUAAGUUUCAUUCUAAAAAGAUGAAAAGCCAAAAAAGAUUUUCACCUUCUUAUCUUAAGUUUUAUUAGCUUCAGAUUCAACCAAAGAAAAAAAGGAAUUCAAAAAAAAAUCCUUAGAUCCCUUUGAUUAGAGUUUAUUUCAAGAGGAAGAAAUCCAAACAAAACCGGAGUUGCAAUGAGGUGCUCGUGUUUGGCCAAGAAGUUCUGAUCUUAUUCGUAGUCUGAUCCGAUGCUAAAUGGACCUGUGGUUUGGAAGUUUGCUGAUUUUUGUUGCCGGUUUGAGGAUCGUCGUGUCGAGUUCCGGUCGCAACUGUAUCUUUAUUUCAGUCCGUGUAACUAUUGGAAUUUUUAUUAAUUGGAAGAAAUUUCAGGUUCAAUUCUCUCCUCUCUCAUUAUAUUCUAGUGUCGAUCUUAAUAUUGUUUGUGUCCAAAUUAUGGUUUUUGCUGGAUUUGUGAUGUUAAUUGGUUUGAGUGAAUUCUUACUUGAAAUUCUUUUUAGAACGGAGGGAUAUUAAUCUUGACGGGAGGUUUUUGAAAUAUCAACUUUAGUAUGCACCUUAAGAAGUUCAUGUAGAGAGCGUUGUUGAUGGUGUAGUUAUUCUGUUGUGUGAAUAAGUAUUGCUCUCUGAAAGUUGGUCUUCUCUUUUAUAAUCAGUUGAGUCUUAGUAAUAUGCAAAUGCAUUCCUAAAAUUUGAAUUGUUCUUUUCCCUUAUAUCUGUGAUUAUCUUACUGGUUGCAAUUGGAAAUUGUUUAUCAUACACUAGCGAAUGAAACCACUUGUUUUGUCAUGUGUUGUUGACUGAAGGGUUGCGGAGAGUAUUGGAGAAGAUGUUAAGGAUUUAAAAGAAGGAGAUUCAGUUGUCCCGAUACAUAGCUAGUAUACUUUAGGCAUGUAUUAAUAAACCAAUCAUCGUGAUUGUGUACACGUUCGCGUGACAUAAUUACGAUCUUAAAAACCAACUCGGAGUAUGCGUUUGUGCAACUUCGAUAAGAUUUUCUUAAUAAUGAAUUUGUUGUUAAUAGGCCGCUAAAUUAAAUGUAGUUCAGGUGUGUCAUUCACAAUUUAAUCAUCCAUGGCCCUCGUAUUAAUCGUAUGACUUAGAUAUAAAAAUGAAAAACACUUGUAGUCCUUUAGGCCCGUUUAAUAUACCAUCGUGGUUGCGUACACGUUCGCGUGAUAUAAUUACGAUUCUAAAAAUAAAACCGGG
rnacentral:lncRNA from 1 species